rnacentral:rRNA from 2 species
UACGUAGGUGGCAAGCGUUGUCCGGAUUUAUUGGGUUUAAAGGGUGCGUAGGCGGUCCUAUAAGUCAGUGCUGAAAUAUCCCGGCUUAACCGGGAGGGUGGCAUUGAUACUGCAGGACUUGAGUAAAGUUGAGGUAGGCGGAAUUGACGGUGUAGCGGUGAAAUGCUUAGAUAUCGUCAAGAACACCGAUAGUGUAGACAGCUUACUAAGCUUUAACUGACGCUGAGGCACGAAAGUGUGGGGAUCAAACAGG